GAGGGUAUAGCUCAGUGGCAGAGCGCACGCUUAGCACGCAUGAGAUCCUGGGUUCAAUCCCCGGUGCCUCUA
rnacentral:tRNA from 1 species